GCCACCCUAGCUCAGUUGGUAGAGCACAGAAUUCGUAAUUCUGGGGUCCCGAGUUCGAUCCUCGGGGGUGGCUCCA
rnacentral:tRNA from 1 species